rnacentral:rRNA from 1 species
GACGAACCGUACGAACGUUAUUCGGAAUCACUGGGCUUAAAGAGUUCGUAGGCGGCCUGUCAAGUUGGGUGUGAAAUCCCUCGGCUCAACCGAGGAACUGCGCUCAAAACUAGCAGGCUAGAGGGAGAUAGGGGUAAGCGGAACUGAUGGUGGAGCGGUGAAAUGCGUUGAUAUCAUCAGGAACACCGGUGGCGAAGGCGGCUUACUGGAUCUCUUCUGACGCUGAGGAACGAAAGCUAGGGUAGCAAACGGG